AUGUUCGUUUCCCACUUCCUCCGAGGUCUAGGCCUUCCCCUGGAUCCUUUCGUCAGGGGUUUGAUGUUUUACUACGGGCUAGAUUUACAUGAUCUAGCUCCGGACUCCUUUCUUCACAUCAUGACAUUUAUUGUCGUGUGCGAGGCCUUCCUCCGGGUUACCCCUCACUUUGGCCUAUGGCUCAAGACCUUUGAAGUGAAGCUGAAGAUGGUCGAGGGGCAACAUGCAGCGUGUGGAGGUGCCUCAAUACGCAAGAUGACGGGAGCUUCGUGGCCCAAAGUUUCCAUCCCAGAGGUGUUUGAAUUGUGGCAAUAG
rnacentral:rRNA from 1 species